rnacentral:misc_RNA from 1 species
ACAAAAAGGAUGAUGGAAAUAACUUGGGUUGGAGUAAUAAUAAGGGGUUUAAUCUCUUAAUAAGUCAUGAAUAAUAUCAAUGUAGACAGGAAAAUGAUCCAUAUGGCCACCUCAAUUAGUUUGAGAUUUAAUUUCAUUGAGUUGAAUUUAAAUUUCAAAUAGAUGCUACGCAAACCACAAAUUGAUAUACAGGUAGACAAUAUUCCACGAAAUGAGGCAUGUAUUAGCUUAAUGAAAAAUCCUUUUCAUGGGAUAGUAAAAAAGAUUAAAAAAGAAGAAAAAAAGAGAUACAUCAAGGGAAUUGGGUACUUCACCAUGUUCUAUGGCAUGUAUUAUGCGUUGAUUGUGUUUUUGUAACUUCCAUAAAAAUAUCUUUCAAUUAAAGGAAACAAAUUAAAGCAUGAUUAAGGAGUUAACCUAAUUUGGGGGCCUCUUCUCAA